GGGUAUGCUAAGCCUGGUGAACCAAAGGUUGGAGGUAUAGAAAGAACUAGAAAAUCGGAGGCGUGGGAAGAUAGGAUUUUCAGUGAGGUCGCCUUCCACAUAUUCAAGAAUUGGUGGCCCAAUAGGAAGCUGAUUCCAGAGAGGUAGUUCAUAGAUGCCGAUCUAAUUUCUCACAACCCUCACGUGCAAACACAAUUCCACACGAGAGAGGGUUGAAGCUUCUUCAAGGAAUG
rnacentral:lncRNA from 1 species